GUCUACGGCCAUGUCACCCUGAAAGUGCUCAAUCACGUCUGAUCUCGGAAGCUAAGCAGGGUUGGGCCUGGUUCGUAGUACUUGGAUGGGAGACCACCUAGGAAGACUGGGUGCUGUAGACA
rnacentral:rRNA from 1 species